GGGGGGGGGGGGGGGGGGGGGGGGGGGGGGGGGGGGGGGCGGCGGGGCGGGCGUCGGGGUGGCGGCGGGUGGGGGACGGGGGCGUAAUGCGUCGGAACGUGCCCAGGAGUGGGGGAUAGCCCGGCGAAAGCCGGAGUAAUACCGCAUACGACCUGCGGGUGAGCGCGGGGGACCGAAAGGCCUCGCGCUAUUGGAUCGGCCGAUGUCGGAUUCGCUAGUGGGUGGGGUAAAGGCUUACCAAGGCGACGCUCCGUAGCUGGUCUGAGAGGACGACCAGCCACACUGGGACUGAGACACGGCCCAGACUCCUACGGGAGGCAGCAGUGGGGAAUUUUGGACAAUGGGGGCAACCCUGAUCCAGCCAUGCCGCGUGCGGGAAGAAGGCCUUCGGGUUGCAAACCGCUUUUGUUCGGGAAGAAAUCCUCUGGGCUAAUACCCCGGGGGGAUGACGGUACCGGAAGAAUAAGCACCGGCUAACUACGUG
rnacentral:rRNA from 1 species